AUUGAACGCUGGCGGCAGGCCUAACACAUGCAAGUCGAGCGGAUGAAGGGAGCUUGCUCCUGGAUUCAGCGGCGGACGGGUGAGUAAUGCCUAGGAAUCUGCCUGGUAGUGGGGGAUAACGUCCGGAAACGGGCGCUAAUACCGCAUACGUCCUGAGGGAGAAAGUGGGGGAUCUUCGGACCUCACGCUAUCAGAUGAGCCUAGGUCGGAUUAGCUAGUUGGUGGGGUAAAGGCCUACCAAGGCGACGAUCCGUAACUGGUCUGAGAGGAUGAUCAGUCACACUGGAACUGAGACACGGUCCAGACUCCUACGGGAGGCAGCAGUGGGGAAUAUUGGACCAUGGGCGAAAGCCUGAUCCAGCCAUGCAGCGUGUGUGAAGAAGGUCUUCGGAUUGUAAAGCACUUUAAGUUGGGAGGAAGGGCAGUAAGUUAAUACCUUGCUGUUUUGACGUUACCAACAGAAUAAGCACCGGCUAACUUCGUG
rnacentral:rRNA from 1 species